ensembl:lncRNA
UGGCACUGCCCUCGCAACGCCCGCACUCUGCCGACCUUAUGUACGGUCCGGAGCCCUUCCCCGGUCCUUGCGCAACGUCGGGGCUCCUCCCGGCCGGGUUCAGCAUGGCUCGGCACGGCUCAGCUAACGACUAUACAGCCCGACUCGCUACAGCUUGGCUUGACUUGGCGCAGUCUCUCUACCAACAAUCACGUUUGGCUAUUGGGAGCACGGAUGAUGCAAACAGGAAUUUCCAAGCAGGGAAAUACGAUCGGCGAGCUGUACAAUCCCCCCUCUGAGACAGCGGCGAUCGCGUCGGCCUGGCACGAUGACACCCAACUGCAGGCCCGGACGGCAUCUGACAUGUGCGGUUGAUGAGUCCCAUGGCUAUGGAGAGAAGAUUGCCCUUUGUUGGCCACCCUCCUGUCCUCAAGCCAGGGAACUCCAGCCCCUUCCUUCGCGCUCCCUGGCCUGUUGCCCACGUUGCCACCACCCGGGCACAGUACUCGUGUCCCCACCCAGCCUGGCUGUUGGGAGUGGGAGAGGGCCAUGGUAAAUGAUUUCUCAGUUAAUGAC